rnacentral:rRNA from 1 species
ACGAAGGGUGCAAGCGUUACUCGGAAUUACUGGGCGUAAAGCGUGCGUAGGUGGUUGUUUAAGUCUGUUGUGAAAGCCCUGGGCUCAACCUGGGAAUUGCAGUGGAUACUGGGCGACUAGAGUGUGGUAGAGGGUAGUGGAAUUCCCGGUGUAGCGGUGAAAGGCAUAGAGAUCGGGAGGAGCAUCGAUGGCGAGGGCAGCUACCUGGACCAAAACCCACACUGAGGCACGAAAGCGUCGGUAGCAAAAAG